rnacentral:misc_RNA from 1 species
CUGCAAUUUCCUUGUCAACCUGAUGAUGCGCAUGAAAGCUUUUUAGUUCAGAAAAUCGCUGUGAGUAACCGGGUAGAGGACUAAGAUUUCUCAACUCUAGCGCAUCAGAGAGCUGCUGCUUCAAAGAGACAAUUGUCUCCUGCAAUCCUUCACAUUCACAAAUCUUUUGGUUGAGCUGCUCCUGAAUUAUCCGAUUAUCUGCAGCUUUAACCUCAAGUUCGAAUGACUUCUCAUUCAAUUGUGCUGUCAGUUCAGCAAUUGUUUGUGAUACUUCCAAAUUAUCUAUCUUAUUGUGUG